CACACAGACAGCUAUAAAAUUGUAUCAAAGUUGUCAGAGGAAUGGAAAUGAACAUUGGCAGCAAUGUCCUCCAAAGAGUAUUCCAUGGGCUUUCACAUGCGUGGCAACUUGUUGCUGAGCACAACCAAAAGAUGCAUCCGGAAAACAUUUAAGAAUCAAAUAUUGUGCAACAGGCACUUUCUCCGUAGAUAGUCUGCAACUCAAUCCUAUGCAUGCUUACUCAGAGGAAAAGCAGGCGAGGGAGAGAGAGAAAGCGAGCAGGAUAAUGGAUUAAGCUGCGAGUGGAUUCCGACGACUCAGCCUCUAAGAAUGAAUAUAACCGGGGGAAGCCAAGAGGGCGCCACAGAUGCCUUACCUUGUAA